GUCCGUGCUCUGGGUUGAGGCGGCUGGGGCCGAGUUGGGGGGUGGGAGGCGCGGCGCUAUGGCCGAGGGCAGCGGGGAAGUAGUCGCCGUGCCCGCGACCGGGGCUGUCAACGGCCUCAACAAUGGGGCCGGCGGGACCUCGGCGCAGACUAACAACCCGCUAUCGCGGAAGCUGCGUAAGAUCCUGGACACACGGCUGGACAACGACAAGGAGAUGUUGGAAGCUCUCAAGGCACUCUCAACCUUUUUUGUUGAAAAUAGUUUGCGCACUCGAAGAAAUUUACGUGGAGAUAUUGAACGCAGAAGUUUAGCCAUCAAUGAAGAGUUUGUAAGCAUUUUCAAGGAAGUGAAGGAAGAACUUGAAAGCAUACAUGAAGAUGUUCAGGCAAUGAGCAGCUGUUGUCAAGAUAUGACAUGUCGCCUACAGGCAGCAAAGGAACAGACUCAAGAUUUAAUAACAAAAACCACUAAGCUUCAAGCUGAAAGUCAAACAUUAGAAAUAAGAGCACAAGUUGCAGAUGCCUUCUUAUCCAAGUUCCAGCUGACUUCUGAUGAAAUGAGUCUUCUCCGAGGUACAAGAGAAGGACCUAUCACUGAGGAUUUUUUCAAGGCAUUGGGAAGAGUAAAACAGAUUCAUAAUGAUGUCAAAGUUCUCUUGCGUACAAACCAACAAACAGCAGGUUUAGAAAUUAUGGAACAGAUGGCCUUGCUUCAAGAAACAUCUUAUGAAAGACUUUACCGGUGGGCUCAGAGUGAAUGCAGAACAUUGACACAAGAAUCAUGUGACAUAUCUCCAGUACUGACUCAGGCAAUGGAAGCCCUGCAGGAUAGACCUGUCUUAUAUAAGUAUACCUUAGAUGAAUUUGGAACAGCCAGAAGAAGUACAGUUGUUCGUGGAUUUAUCGAUGCUCUUACAAGAGGGGGCCCAGGAGGUACACCUAGACCCAUUGAAAUGCACUCCCAUGACCCUUUGAGAUAUGUAGGCGAUAUGUUGGCUUGGCUCCAUCAGGCCACUGCUUCUGAAAAAGAACACCUUGAAGCUCUCUUAAAGCAUGUAACUACACAAGGUGUUGAAGAAAAUAUUCAAGAAGUUGUUGGACAUAUUACUGAGGGUGUGUGCAGGCCUCUAAAGGUUCGAAUUGAACAAGUAAUAGUUGCUGAACCUGGGGCAGUUUUAUUAUAUAAAAUUUCUAACCUCCUCAAAUUUUAUCACCAUACAAUCAGUGGCAUUGUUGGAAAUAGUGCAACUACAUUGUUGACUACCAUUGAAGAAAUGCAUUUGCUGAGCAAAAAAAUAUUCUUCAGUAGCUUGAGUCUUCAUGCCAGCAAAUUAAUGGACAAGGUUGAACUCCCACCGCCUGAUCUUGGACCAAGUUCUGCAUUAAAUCAGACACUCAUGUUGUUGCGUGAAGUUUUGGCAUCUCAUGAUUCUUCAGUUGUACCAUUAGAUGCCCGUCAAGCCGAUUUUGUGCAGGUUUUAUCAUGUGUCUUGGAUCCUCUUCUCCAGAUGUGUACUGUAUCAGCCAGCAAUUUAGGCACGGCUGACAUGGCUACCUUCAUGGUCAAUUCACUAUAUAUGAUGAAGACAACAUUAGCUCUGUUUGAAUUCACUGACAGACGUCUGGAAAUGCUACAGUUCCAGAUUGAAGCACAUUUGGACACACUUAUAAAUGAGCAAGCUUCUUAUGUUUUAACUAGAGCAGGCGUGAGUUAUAUCUAUAACACCAUACAGCAACAUAAACCCGAACAGGGCCCUUUAGCUAAUUUUCCCAACCUAGAUUCUGUGGCACUGAAGGCUGCAAUGGUUCAGUUUGAUCGCUAUCUGUCAGCCCCAGACAACCUGUUAAUGCCACAGCUGAACUUUCUUCUUAGUGCCACAGUGAAGCAUACGGCUCCCGUUCCUGCUCUGAAUUCUGCCAGGAAAGCAGGACAAGUGCCAGUUGUCCAGCUUGCUUGGGUAGCCACACCAGGAGGAACUCUGGAGACGGUGGAGGAACAGGGAUCUCUCCUCUACAAGACUAGAGCUUUAUCUUCCAAAGUGGAGACCCCUGCCCCAGCAGGAGAUGCUGAAAGGCACUCGCCCCGCUCAGGUCACACUGCAAGAUUUCCAGGCACUUCUUUGUGCACCGUCUUGAUGUCGAGCAAGACCAGCCAGGUGUGAUUGUCCCGGAGGCAUCCAGACGGAGGCAGACUGUGCGCGCCCCUGCCACCCAGAGGUCACCACUGAGGAAGGACGUCUGCGCCUGUGUUCCUUGAGAAGAUAAGUUGCAGAUGACAGCGUCUGGAGUGGACCCACAGGUCCUGCUGGUCUCGGCCUGUGCCAGGAGAGAGCCGUUUCUGCCACCACACUUCAGAUAAGGAAACAGGCACAGUGAAGUUAAGCAACCAGCUCAACUAGCAGCAUAGUUGAAAGAAGUGGAAUCCGGAUUCCAGAGUCGGUAGCAUCUGAGCCCGUGGUUUUAAUCCCUUUGACAUGUAUUUCCAGGACAAGGUUGGAACAUAUGCUUACCUUGAAGGAAAAGCAGUGUCAGUACUGGCUACCUGGAGAGCUGUGAUGGAAACCUGUCUACGACUGGAAGCCGCUUUCCUGGCUGCUGGAGGGGAACACUCCUACUCCACGGAGUUCUCUUGAAGGGGCCUGACUGCCAGACUAGAAGACGAACACAGUGUCAAUCAGUACACCCAGGCCUCCAAAGAUGGAAGAGUUGUGAACCCACACCCGUCUGGUUAUGCCGCCCUGUCUGCAGCUAGAGCGUACGUCGUCCCGCAAACCGUUGUUGUGUGCUUUCUAGGUGCCGGUAUCAUACACAGCUCCGUAAUCUGUGUUCCUGCUGCAUCUAAGCCAUUAAUAAGACCAUGUGAAGCUAGAAAAGAACCAAGAGCCCAGCGUGACUGCCAAAGACAAAGAAAGAACAGCAGAGAAAGAAAACCGAGGGAAGAGUGGAGUCGAGAUGUGGUGCUGUUUCCAGCAUCUCAGCCCAGGGUCACACUUCCAGCUCUUCAGCAGAAAGGAAAAGUACAGCUGCACUGUGGACUCACAAGGAAGAUAGAGGAUUUCAUCUUGAAAGACAGAAAAUGAUCUCUCUCUGAGAAUCUGAAAGAAGGUGGGCUCACACUGGAACAUGCCUGAGAACUGCACGGGGCAGGAGAAGACAGCAGCAGUCCCUGGAAGGAAUGCGUGGGCAGAAGGGUUAUAGGAACUUUCAAGGCUUUUAUAAAAGGAUCGGAGAGAAAAGAAACAUAGGAGGCCCAUUAGUAAAUCAGAAGAAAGAUGGAUUUAAUGAUGCACAUGACAUUAUUGAGAUCAUGAACCGCAUCAUUAAAUUCAUCUUUUAAAAAGAAGAAAGAAAAUAUAUCCCCAGGAGUCU